rnacentral:rRNA from 1 species
GGUUCAGGAUGAACGCUGGCGGCGUGCUUAACACAUGCAAGUCGAACGGAGUUUUAACGGAAGUUUCGGAUGGAAGUUUAAGAACUUAGUGGCGGACGGGUGAGUAACGCGUGGGUAACCUGCCUCAUACAGGGGGAUAACAGUUAGAAAUGACUGCUAACACCGCAUAAUAUAGCGAAACCGCAUGAUUUUUGCUAUCAAAUAUUUAUAGGUAUGAGAUGGGCCCGCGUCUGAUUAGCUAGUUGGUGGGGUAAAAGCCUACCAAGGCGACGAUCAGUAGCCGGCUUGAGAGAGUGACCGGCCACAUUGGGACUGAGACACGGCCCAAACUCCUACGGGAGGCAGCAGUGGGGAAUAUUGGACAAUGGGGGAAACCCUGAUCCAGCCGACGCCGCGUGAGUGAAGAAGUAUUUCGGUAUGUAAAGCUCUAUCAGCAGGGAAGAUAAUGACAGUACCUGACUAAGAAGCCCCGGCUAACUACGUGCCAGCCGCGGC